rnacentral:rRNA from 1 species
GCGUAAUAGCUCACUGGUCGAGUGACUCUGCGCCGAAAAUGUACCGGGGCUAAACGUAUCACCGAAGCUGCGGACUGUUCUUCGAACAGUGGUAGGAGAGCGUUCUAAGGGCUGUGAAGCAAGACCGGAAGGACUUGUGGAGCGCUUAGAAGUGAGAAUGCCGGUAUGAGUAGCGAAAGAGGGGUGAGAAUCCCCUCCACCGAAUGCCUAAGGUUUCCUGAGGAAGGCUCGUCCGCUCAGGGUUAGUCGGGACCUAAGCCGAGGCCGAAAGGCGUAGGCGAUGGAUAACAGGUUGAUAUUCCUGUACCACCUCCUCACCAUUUGAGCAAUGGGGGGACGCAGGAGGAUAGGGUAAGCGCGGUAUUGGAUAUCCGCGUCCAAGCAGUUAGGCUGGGAAAUAGGCAAAUCCGUUUCCCGUGAAGGCUGAGCUGUGAUGGCGAGCGAAUUAUAGUAGCGAAGUUCCUGAUUCCACACUGCCAAGAAAAGCCUCUAGCGAGGUGAGAGGUGCCCGUACCGCAAACCGACACAGGUAGGCGAGGAGAGAAUCCUAAGGUGAUCGAGAGAACUCUCGUUAAGGAACUCGGCAAAAUGACCCCGUAACUUCGGGAGAAGGGGUGCUCUGUUAGGUGCAAG